AAGGAGAAUGAUUAGCGGAGAUAGCCAUAUAAAAUUACCUUUGAAAGAAUAGAGAGGGAGAAUUUUACUAUAACAUAACUAUUUGGUGUUAUAAAUAACAAAAAGGAAAAGCAUACAUUAUUGUAAUACUUGAUUGUGUCCAGUUCUCUAUCGAAAUAGUGCAUAAGGCAGAUAAAAAUACAGUGUGACGCAGAAAAGGAAAAGGAAGGAAAAAUGCAUAUAACUUUUAUAUGCAUUUUGUUUGAACAAUUUCUGUAACAAAAGAAAUAAAUAAAUUCUUGGUUGGAUCCAAUAAUGAAUGUGAGAUAAUUGGAUCGAUCUGGUCAGAAAGAAGUGUUUUGGGAGUGAGUCAGGGGCUUAUUUAUAUGUUUGAAGCAAAAAUUACCCAAGAAUCCAGGACCAGAGUAAUACCCAUACUCUGAACAACUGAGACAGGCAGCAACUUAACAGCCAUAUAUAAUAAGGAUGAACCCAUGUG
rnacentral:lncRNA from 1 species